UACUCUGAGUGGUGGGUGUCUUGGCUCAUGUGUCUACUAAGAACACAGGACACGGCUAUCUGUAGGAGUUAUCAUGAAUGGCAGGAUACAUUGUCACUGGCAGUUUGAAUGCACUUGUGGCCCUGGGUUGGGUUCAUCUUGGGGCUAUGCCUAUCAGAGUAAGG
rnacentral:rRNA from 1 species